rnacentral:snoRNA from 1 species
ACCCUUUCAGGUUCCUAACCCAAUGACUCUAAACAUUGGUCUGAGUGGUGAUAAAAGGAGAAGUAAGAAUGAAACUGAUUUCAAUUCUUUCGUGACCCAUGAACUAGUUACAAACAAAC